UGGAGGUGGGGAAGGCAUACCGGGAAAGCACCACUGUUUGCCUGCCUGUCCUUGUAACCUUCCUGACACAUCUGUUCUCAGCUAUCGUCAGAGACGGGAUACUGCUCCCUGGGGCCCUGUGGUUUGAGCGAGAAGGCAGUUAUUACACAUUUAUACAAACUGGCAGCCACUGUGCCAGAUCUGGCCAAUAAAGCACUUCCUCCCCACCAACUCUCCUUCCCAGAGGAGCCCAGAAGCAGCUGCUCAGGAGGCAAGUGCCAUCAAAUGUCUCAGCCAUGCUUGCUGGUAGCAUUGCACAGAGCCAGGCCAGCAGGCCCCACCAUAGCUGCCCGCGCUGAGCAGCAGCAGCCAUCAGGUUUAGAGAAGAAAUGCACAGUAUGCUACAGCACUAAGGAGCAAAGCAAGCAGGAACAAUGGGUGACUGGUGGCAGCAUGAGACAAGGACCUGCUGAGCCCACUGGCACAUCUCAGACAAAAAAUUCCAGCAGGAGCAGACCUACAGUUCUCUAGUUGCAGCAGCACUAUGUCUUUACAUGAACUCAUCAUUAUCAUCC
rnacentral:lncRNA from 1 species